rnacentral:tRNA from 1 species
GGUACCAUGGCCGAGCGGUUAGGCUGAGCUCUGCAAAAGCUCCUACAGCAGUUCGAAUCUGCUUGGUACCUCCA